UGGUUUUUUCCACUCACUGUCAAAGGAAAAUAUCUGGCCGCAGCAAAAUCGCACCGUGUCUGCGUACGGGAAAAUCGAAAGCAAAAAUGAGCCUAUUCCUGCGUUCAGUGGCGAGAGCUGGUGCUACGCAAUGGAUGCGUGCAUCACUCUCGACGUCAUCGAUCGCGUUCAAGGAUCCGAAGGCACAAAAGGAAGCCCCGAUACUGGACGCUAGCGUUGUUCUCGCCGAUGCAGAGGAGCGUGCCCGUGACCACCUUCCCACGAUCACGGUGCCGACCAAGGUCGAUAUUAGCCCCAUUACUGGCGUGCCGGAGGAGCACGUGAAGGAGCGCCGGGUGCGCAUCUUCAUGCCGGCCAAGAACGCGAUGCAAAGCGGAACGGACAACAUCCACCACUGGAGCAUCGAGUUCGAUAACCGCGAGCGCUGGGAGAACCCACUGAUGGGAUGGUCCUCGACCGGUGAUCCACUAUCGAACAUGCGCGUCGACUUCACCAGCGCGGACGAGGCGAUCGCCCACUGCGAAAAGAACGGCUGGAGAUGGUUCGUGGACAAGCAGGAGGUGCAGAAGAAGCCGCGCGUCAAGAACUACGGCAUCAACUUUAGCUGGAACAAGCGUACCCGCGUGUCGACCAAGUGAGAAAGGGUUUUAAAGAAGAAGAAGAAGAAUCGUGGACAUCAAACAAACCGGUGCCGUUGUUAGCUAUCGUUUAUGCCGGUCGUUUCUUUCCCCUUCUUCAAAGCCUCCUUUUCGGUUUGGGAAUGAAAUAUUCCCUUCCUCGUCAAGUUUAUUCAAGUUCAUCAAAGCUUACGGGCUAAAACGGUUCAACGGUUUAAUUCGAACAGGCACUGUGCGCCAGGCAUCUGAUUGAGUUCAACUUGAAGCUGAUUUCACGAUCGCCGCAUACAACAACAACAAAAAAAAAAGUCCAACUAACGGUUACUUUCAUUCAAAAUGCUCCUACUAAAAUGGACGGAAAAAGUACAGAAAAAAGAAGGCGCUUGAGGUAACAA